rnacentral:rRNA from 1 species
UGGAGAGUUUGAUUCUGGCUCAGAAUAAACGCUGGCGGCGUGCCUAACACAUGCAAGUCGAUCGAGAAAGUCCGAAAGGAUGAGUAAAGUGGCGGACGGGUGAGUAACGCGUGGGAAUCUACCCUUUGAUGAAGAAUACCUUUGAGAAAUCGGAGUUAAUACUGCAUAAGUCGAUGAAUAAUCGAGAAAGACGGCCUAAUAGCUGUCGUCGAAGGAUGAGCCUGCGUACUAUUAGCUAGUUGGUAGGGUAAGAGCCUACCAAGGCAAAGAUGGUUAACCGGCCUGAGAGGGUGUACGGUCACAAUGGAACUGAAACACGGUCCAUACUCCUACGGGAGGCAGCAGUGGGGAAUAUUGCACAAUGGGCGCAAGCCUGAUGCAGCGACGCCGCGUGGAGGAUGAAGGCUUUCGAGUUGUAAACUCCUGUUAAGUGGAAAGAAAUACCCUAGGUUAAUACCCUAGGGGGAUGACGGUACCACUAGAGAAAGCACCGGCAAACUUCGUGCCAGCAGCCGCGGUAAUACGAAGGGUGCGAGCGUUAUUCGGAGUUACUGGGCGUAAAGAGCAUGUAGGCGGUUUAUUAAGUUGGUUGUUAAAUUUCACGGCUUAACUGUGAGCGCGCAAUCAAUACUGAUAAGCUAGAGCAUAGAAGAGAGAGGUGGAAUUCCCGGAGUAGCGGUAAAAUGCGUAGAUCUCGGGAGGAACACCGGUUGCGAAGGCGGCUUCUUGGUCUAUUGCUGACGCUAAAGUGCGAAAGCGUGGGGAGCAAACAGGAUUAGAUACCCUGGUAGUCCACGCCGUAAACGAUGGUCACUAGAUGUGGGUUGGGCGUAGCUUGAUCCGUGUCGAAGCUAACGCGUUAAGUGGCCCGCCUGAGUAGUACGGUCGCAAGAUUAAAACUCAAAGAAAUUGACGGGGGUCCGCACAAGCGGUGGAACAUGUGGUUUAAUUCGACACUACGCGAGGAACCUUACCUGGGCUUGACAUGUAACUGCUACCGAUGGAAACAUUGGGUUUCUGUAGAAAUACAGAACGGUUACACAGGUGCUGCAUGGCUGUCGUCAGCUCGUGUCGUGAGAUGUUGGGUUAAGUCCUUUAACGAGCGCAACCCUUGCCAUUAGUUGCUACCUUUAAGUAGAGCACUCUAAUGGGACUGCCUAGGAAACUAGGAGGAAGGUGGGGAUGACGUCAAGUCCUCAUGGCCCUUAUGUCCAGGGCUACACACGUGUUACAAUGGCGAGUACAAAGGGUAGCAAAGCUGCGAAGUGGAGCUAAUCUCACAAAGCUCGUCUAAGUUGGGAUUGAAGUCUGAAACCCGACUUCAUGAACCUGAAAUCGCUAGUAAUCGCAUAUCAGAACGAUGCGGUGAAUGCGUUCCCGGACCUUGUACACACCGCCCGUCACACCACGAAAGCCGUCCGCACCCGAAAUUGUUUUAGCUAACCGAAAGGAGGCGGGCAAUGAAGGUGAAGAGGGUGAUUGGGGUGAAGUCGUAACAAGGUAGCAGUACGAGAACGUGCGGCUGGAUCACCUCCUU